rnacentral:snRNA from 8 species
AUACUUACCUGGCAAGGGAGAUACCGUGAUCAAGAAGGCGGUUCACCCAGGGGCGAGGCUCAGCCAUUGCACUCGGGGGGUGGGGAAGAACAACAAAAAGAAUUUCCCAAAUGUGGAAAUCUCGAUUGCAUAAUUUUAUGGUAGUGGGGGACUGCGUUCGCGCUCGCCCCUG